AUUGAACGCUGGCGGCAUGCCUUACACAUGCAAGUCGAACGGCAGCACGGGUGCUUGCACCUGGUGGCGAGUGGCGAACGGGUGAGUAAUACAUCGGAGCGUACCUUAUCGUGGGGGAUAACGCAGCGAAAGCUGUGCUAAUACCGCAUACGCCCUGAGGGGGAAAGCGGGGGAUCGCAAGACCUCGCGCGAUUAGAGCGGCCGAUGCCUGAUUAGCUUGUUGGUGGGGUAAAAGCCCACCAAGGCGACGAUCAGUAGCUGGUCUGAGAGGACGAUCAGCCACACUGGGACUGAGACACGGCCCAGACUCCUACGGGAGGCAGCGGUGGGGAAUUUUGGACAAUGGGGGCAACCCUGAUCCAGCAAUGCCGCGUGAGUGAAGAAGGCCUUCGGGUUGUAAAGCUCUUUUGUUAGGGAAGAAACACCGGCUCUAACACAGUCCGGGAAUGACGGUACCUGAAGAAUAAGCACCGGCUAACUACGUGCCAGCCGCCGCCGUAA
rnacentral:rRNA from 1 species